UCGGGGAGAGGCAGCAAGGAGUGGACGAACAUGCACUUGUAUGAAAUGAUACUCUCAUCCAAUUGCGCGUUAUCAGGCAAAAAAACAAUAGCUGAUUCUAAAGGGCUACGGCAAAUUUCAAAAGUCUUCUGUGGAGGAUAUACUUGUCCUUUCUUGCCAAAAGGAGGCUAACGAGGAGGACCUGAGCCCUAGGACCAUGCCUCAGGACUACCUGGCAUGAUGACUCCUUGCUGUCCACAGUCCACCUGGCCGUGCUGCUACUCCAGUUUCAACUGUUCUGCCUGCGGCUAUGGAACCCUGACCUGUUCACCGGACGUGCUACCUGUCUCACACCUGCUGUUUUAAACUCUCUAGAGACAGCAGGAGCGGUAGAGAUGCUCCUAAUGAUCGGCUAUGAAAAUGUUAUAAUCUGUUAUAAUCUCCACCCGGCACAGCCAGAAGAGGACUGGCCACCCCUCAUAGCCUGGUUCCUCUCUAGGUUUCUUCCUAGGUUUUGGC
ensembl:lncRNA